rnacentral:rRNA from 1 species
GAUAAACGCUGGCGGCGUGCAUAACACAUGCAAGUCGAACGAUGAAGCUUAAAAGAUUUCUUCGGAAUGAACUUAAUGGAUUAGUGGCGGACGGGUGAGUAACGCGGGAGUAAACUGCCUUGUACAAGGGGAUAGCCGGUGGAAACGAAGAAUAAUACCCUAUGACAACAAAUAAUCGCAUGAUAAUUUUAUCAAAGAUUUAUCGGUAUAAGAUGGACUCGCGUCUGAUUAGCUAGUUGGUAGAGUAAAAGCCUACCAAGGCAACGAUCAGUAGCCGGCUUGAGAGAGUGUACGGCCACAUUGGGACUGAGACACGGCCCAGACUCCUACGGGAGGCAGCAGUGGGGAAUUUUGCACAAUGGGGGAAACCCUGAUGCAGCGACGCCGCGUGAUUUAGAAGGCCUUCGGGUUGUAAAAAUCUUUUGUAUGGGAAGAAAAUGACAGUACCAUACGAAUAAGGACCGGCUAAUUACGUG